GAUGAAGAACGUAGCGAAAUGCGAUACUUGGUGUGAAUUGCAGAAUCCCGUGAACCAUCGAGUCUUUGAACGCAAGUUGCGCCCGAAGCCACUAGGCCGAGGGCACGCCUGCCUGGGCGUCACACGCCGUUGCCCCCCCAUCUACUCCUUCGGGAUUGCGGGGGGGCGGAUGAUGGCCUCCCGUGCGCCUAGCCGCGCGGUUGGCAUAAAUACCAAGUCCUCGGCGACGCACGCCACGACAAUCGGUGGUUGCGAAACCUCGGUUGCCCGUCGUGUGCGUUCGUCGCGCAUCGAGGGCUCGAAAAAAUGCUCGGCUCCGGCUGGGCUUUCAACGCGACCCCAGGUCAGGCGGGGUUACCCGCUGAAUUUAAACAUAUCAAUAAGCGGAGGA
rnacentral:misc_RNA from 1 species